ensembl:lncRNA MMP2-AS1 MMP2 antisense RNA 1
CUCUUCAAAUAGGAAAAUUGGCACAGCUUGACUUUCUUCCACUGCCCUCCCAGCCACAGCUUAGACACCUACAAACUCCCACCGCAGGCUGGAGUGCCCUGGAGCCCUAACUGUGAUACCCAGAGACAGGGUUAUGCUACGUUGCUUAGACUGACCACAACCUCCUGGGCUCAAUCUUCCUGCCUCAACUUCCCAAGUAGCUAGAAUUACAGGGACAGAACAGAUGCUGUUUCCCAGGGGACCAAUCCCAGAAAUAUGUGGAGCUGGAGCUUCUGGCAGCCUUUUUGCUACCAUGAGAGGAACCAAAUUGUGAAGACAUCUGUUCUGUUAUUAAUUUCACAUACAUCUUAAGCUCCUCAAGGCCAGAAAUGAGGCUUCAUUCACGUCGAAUUAAUGAAACAUGAUUCAGCUACAUUUUCACCCCAUCCCGGGCUCCAUGUUCCUGCUGCACACACAUCAAGAAUGCUGCUAAUUUCAGCGUCUGCCUUCCAGACCCAGACGUCAAAACAACUACCUUUCAUCUCAGGAAAGCAAACUACUAUGUUGUGAGCAG